AAUAGAUACCCUGGUAGUCCACGCCGUAAACGAUGAGUGCUAAGUGUUAGAGGGUUUCCGCCCUUUAGUGCUGCAGCUAACGCAUUAAGCACUCCGCCUGGGGAGUACGGUCGCAAGACUGAAACUCAAAGGAAUUGACGGGGGCCCGCACAAGCGGUGGAGCAUGUGGUUUAAUUCGAAGCAACGCGAAGAACCUUACCAGGUCUUGACAUCCUCUGACAACUCUAGAGAUAGAGCGUUCCCCUUCGGGGGACAGAGUGACAGGUGGUGCAUGGUUGUCGUCAGCUCGUGUCGUGAGAUGUUGGGUUAAGUCCCGCAACGAGCGCAACCCUUGAUCUUAGUUGCCAGCAUUCAGUUGGGCACUCUAAGGUGACUGCCGGUGACAAACCGGAGGAAGGUGGGGAUGACGUCAAAUCAUCAUGCCCCUUAUGACCUGGGCUACACACGUGCUACAAUGGAUGGUACAAAGGGCUGCAAGACCGCGAGGUCAAGCCAAUCCCAUAAAACCAUUCUCAGUUCGGAUUGU
rnacentral:rRNA from 1 species